rnacentral:rRNA from 1 species
AAACUUUCAACAACGGAUCUCUUGGCUCUGGCAUCGAUGAAGAACGCAGCGAAAUGCGAUAAGUAAUGUGAAUUGCAGAAUUUAGUGAAUCAUCGAUCUUUGAACGCACAUUGCGCCCCUUGGCAUUCCGAGGGGCAUGCCUGUUCGAGCGUC